UGUCACUUCAGUGCUGGUAGUGAUGUAGUGACCAAAAACUUCAAAGUUAUCCAAUGUGCUCAGGCACUGAACUGUUUAUGAGCAAAAUGAACCAAGACCAGAAUCCUGGUGUCUACAGAAUUCCAGGCCAUUGUGUUUCCCCAGGAUUGGAAGAACUCAGGGUCACUAAAUUAUCUUUGAGUUUUUGACAUGGGACCAAUCAUUGUGGAAUUACGCUAAGAAACUCUUCGGUGGAGGAACAAAACUUGUGGUCAUAGAUAGAAGUUCAGAUGGAGACAUUUCCCCCAAGCCCACAAUUUUUCUUCCUUCAAAUGCUGAAAUAAAUCUCCACAAGGCUGGGACAUAUCUUUGUGUUCUGGAGAAAUUUUUCCCCGAUGUUAUUAAGAUAUAUUGGAAAGAAAAGGAUGGGAAUAUGAUUCUGCAGUCUCAGCAGGGAGAUACCAUGAAGACUAAAGACACCUACAUAAAGUUCAGCUGGUUAACAGUGACUGGAGAUUCAAUGGAUAAAGAGCACAGAUGUAUCCUCAAACAUGAGAAUAAUAAAGGAAGCGUUGAUCAAGAGAUUUUCUUUCCUCCAGUAAAUGAAGUCACCAUUGUUACUCGCAGAGAACCUGAUUUGAAAGGCAAAAAUGUUAUCAGUACUACUGAACCUGAAGCUUGCUUGAAAGAUGAAAAUGGUUUGUUGCACCUGCAGCUCACCAGCACCUCUGCCUACUACACCUACUUCCUGCUGCUCCUCAAGAGUACCCUUCAUGGGGGCCUUGUCAUCUACUGUCUAUGCAAAAGGUCUCCUGUCUGCUGUGAUGGGAAGAGCACCUGACAGAUGGAAGCAUGCAGGGCCACAGUGUCUCCACCAUUUCUUGUUCCCAGCAGUGUCUGUUGAGGGUUGUCUGGGCUUUUGCUCCUAAAGGCCACAUGAACAUUAUGUCAUUAUUGCAUAAGGGUUUCCCAACCAGUGGGCAAACUGUGUAGCUUCCUCUGUCACUAAAAGGAGCAGCCCAUGGCACCCUGAGCCCCAUUCCAUGGUCCCCACAGCCCCUCCAGCCAGCCAGGUCCUCACAUCCUUGAUGUGCAGUUUGCUGUUUCUGGCCAGGACUUCAGUGCCUGUGGACUGGGUCAUCACCCAGAAGCCUUCACUUUACCCGUUCUGACAUGGCCUUCCGUGGUACUGAACUCUAUGCUUUGUUGGUUAUAGUAGACACAAUAAAUAAAAAAUAUCCAAAGUC